rnacentral:rRNA from 1 species
UACGAAGGGUGCAAGCGUUACUCGGAAUUACUGGGCGUAAAGCGUGCGUAGGCGGUUUGUUAAGUCUGUCGUGAAAGCCCCGGGCUCAACCUGGGAAUGGCGAUGGAUACUGGCGAGCUAGAGUACGGUAGAGGAGAGUGGAAUUCCUGGUGUAGCGGUGAAAUGCGCAGAUAUCAGGAAGAACACCCGUGGCGAAGGCGGCUCUCUGGGACGGUACUGACGCUGAGACGCGAAAGCGUGGGGAGCGAACAGG